CCAAUAGUGUAUAUUAAAGUUGUUGCAGUUAAAAAGCUCGUAGUUGAAUUUCGGGACCAGUAUGUCGGUCGUGCUUCUGUACGUACUGUCAUUACUGGUUUCUCCCUUCUGAAGAACCACGAUGUCAUUAAUUUGGUGUCGUGGGGAAUCAGGACUGUUACUUUGAAAAAAUUAGAGUGUUUAAAGCAGGCUCGCGCUUGAAUACAUUAGCAUGGAAUAAUGAAAUAGGACGUUUGAUUCUAUUUUGUUGGUUUCUAGGAUCGACGUAAUGAUUAAUAGGGAUAGUUGGGGGCAUUAGUAUUCAAUUGUCAGAGGUGAAAUUCUUGGAUUUAUUGAAGACUAACUACUGCGAAAGCAUUUGCCAAGGAUGUUUUCAUUAAUCAAGAACGAAAGUUAGGGGAUCGAAGACGAUCAGAUACCGUCGUAGUCUUAACCAUAAACUAUGCCGACUAGGGAUCGGAUGAUGUUAAUUUUUUAAUGACUCAUUCGGCGCCUUACG
rnacentral:rRNA from 1 species